rnacentral:rRNA from 1 species
AUGCCCUCCUCUCAGNCUUGUCUGGUAAAGUCUUCAGCUUGACCUUCAUUCNUGCUGUCUCCCCGGGUAAGAUUCCUGGCGUUGACUCCGAUUGGAACCGCAGGGCUUCACCCCUUGUGGUGCUCCCCCGCCAAUUCCUUUAAGUUUCAGACUUGCGUCCGUACUUCCCAGGCGGCAAACUUAACGGCUUCCCUGCGGCACUGCAUUGGCCAUAAGCCAAUGCAUCACCGAGUUUGCAUCGUUUACAGCUGGGACUACCCGGGUAUCUAAUCCGGUUUGCUCCCCCAGCUCUCAUCCCUCACCGUCGAACGUGUUCUGGCAGACCGCCUUCGCCACUGGUGGUCCUNCAAUGNGAUCAGAGGAUUUUACCCCUACCCACUGAAUACCGUCUGCCUCUCCCACUCCCUAGCUCUGUAGUAUCUCCAGCGGCCCAUCUGUUGAGCAGGUGGAUUUAACCGAAGACUUGCAGAGCCGGCUACGGAUGCUUUAGGCCCAAUAAACGUCCUGACCACUCGAGGUGCUGGUAUUACCGCGGCGGCUGACACCAGACUUGCCCACCCCUUAUUCACUUGUGCUUUUAGGACAAGCAAAAGACUCCUU